CAAACGCAGGACCCUUCAGUCCGAGGGCCAACAUUCUAUCCACUGAGCCAAACUGGCUAGGAGGAAAGUAAGUCCUUCUGACAUGAAUCACACCACCACCCUUCCCGCACUUCAGAUAUCGACCUCUACCUACUUAGACGCAGCAGUCCUUGGAAAAACCCAGAACAGAAACUUCCCUGCCAAGUGAAGAGUUGCUCACUGGAGUGGCUUCAGGAAAUGCAAAUCGAAUGUCUGUAGUGGUAUUUAAAGACAUGAAGAGUUUCGAUGUGUGUUAAACUGAAAAUAUGAAUAAAUGUCUUUUGGGAUGUA